CUACGGGGUGCUGCAGUUAAGGAUAUUCUGCAAUACACGAAAGUGUGACAGAGCGAGCCAGAGUGCUUCUCUAUAAUUGAGAAGCUUUUGUGAGAUGUAAAAAGUCUUACGAAUAAGGACUGGGCAAGACUGGUGCCAGCCGCCGCGGUAAUCCCAGCAGUCCAAGUCGCAAUCACAAUUAUUGGGUCUAAAACAUCCGUAGCUUGCUUUGUAAGUCUCUUGUGAAAUCCGGCCUCUUAAGGGUCGAAGUGCGAGAGAUACUGCAUAGCUAGAGACCGGGAGAGGUAAGAAGUACAAACAGGGUAGCGGUAAAAUGUGUUGAUCCUGUUUGGACUAACAACAGCGAAGGCAUCUUACUAGAACGGAUCUGACAGUGAGGGAUGAAGGCUAGGGGCGCAAAGUGGAUUAGAUACCCUUGUAGUC
rnacentral:rRNA from 1 species